UACGUAGGGUGCGAGCGUUGUCCGGAAUUAUUGGGCGUAAAGGGCUCGUGGGCGGUUUGUCGCGUCGGGAGUGAAAACCAUGGGCUUAACUCAUGGCUUGCUUUCGAUACGGGCAGACUAGAGGUAUGCAGGGGAGAACGGAAUUCCUGGUGUAGCGGUGAAAUGCGCAGAUAUCAGGAGGAACACCGGUGGCGAAGGCGGUUCUCUGGGCAUGAUCUGACGCUGAGGAGCGAAAGUGUGGGGAGCGAACAGG
rnacentral:rRNA from 1 species